ACAUUCAAGACACGACUGGUGAAGUGCGGAUGGAUGAUCAGUAGUUUUAGCUCUCUGAUUGAUAGAAGUGGCUAAAAAUUGGAUGUCAAGUCCAGCUGAUAUCGUUCUGUUUAGAUAAACGAUUUUCGUUUAAAACUCUCAAUCAUAAAGCCUAUUUCCUCCUCACAAUGCUUUCUGAAAUUUCAUUAAUAUGACGGGCUGCGCUAUAGAAUUAAGGCUAUUGAGGGUAAAAGGCGCACGACAUAAUGAGAAUGGGCCUGAGCCCGUAACAAAGUUGUUCUGCCGCGCCGAAUAGGACGACGGGAAAAACAUAAUGACUUUCAGGUCGUGUUGCCGGGCGCAUUGCGUGAGAAAGUUACGCCACAGCCCAUUCCCUUUUGCAGCCGUUAUUCGUUAAUAGGCCUUCUACACUGCACAGGCGUGCAGCCUCAGCAGCCGUACAUGUCACAUCGCGGAUGGCGUAUUUUGUCUCCAUGAAUGGAUGCUGGCGAUGCACUUGUGCGGCUGCAGCACUGCACAGCACAGCGGAUCCUUUGUUCAGCGGGAAUCAGGCGCACUGCCGAGUACGUGAUUGUUGUGGGCUGGUUAUGAGGAAAUCUAAGUACAAAAGGUCAACACAAGUCCAUAACUAAGCUUUAUUGACUCUGACACUACUUCGGACUGCUUAACAUCAUGGACAAAUAUUACUGACUAGUUACCUCACUUCAUCACUGGACAUAUAUGUGUAACCGCCAUUUGCCAUUGAUGCCAAAGAGAGACGAGCCGCUCGCUGCCCGGCCGGUUCAUGCUGCAUGCUUGUAAACUUUUUGCUCCACUUUGGGGAAUAGUGUACACGGCUCAAAUCGUCAUCCUUUAGAAGAAAGAUAUUCGCGGGCGGAGAAUCCAUAAAAUUACGCAACCUGUGCGCGGUGUAGUCCGCGUUCGGUGCUGUGUGUGUGUACAGUGGCGCGCCAUUGUGUCAGUGAUUUCUCAACAUGUGCAAAUAACAUGGAUUACAAUCUUAAGAUAUCGCCUUAUAGUGCACUGAUCGACCGCUAAGCGCCGCUAUGGAUAUCACAUCCCUUCUUCCCUUCAAGUAUAUUGUCAGCGGCUGCGGCAAUUUUUCUCUUUUUAACAUGAUCCGAUAAUACACAUCAAAUGUAACUGGACGCACGGGUUAUAUGGCGGAAUAUAUCGCGGCGAAGAACUGAUUUGAAAAGUACUUCAAUACAUAUAAUCUGAUGACAUAAGAUUUCCGCAACAGGAUGCAGAUUUCCUGUCUCCCAUAUAUAUGAAUCAGCUGGCUUCACUGCAUGGCGUCAAAGAAGCGCAAGAUGUGUUUCUUGAUUAACGGUUCUUAAGUUAAAUUACCGGUUUGACCGGGGUUAAUCUGAUCAAUCCCGACCUCGAAUUAUGGGACACCGGAAAUAACACUUAAUUUAGCAAUUUCAGUUUUAUCUGGCACUAUGUGCCAAGGAGUAGUAACGCUGUUUUUCGUAUUGCAAUUGUUCCACAUUGACCAAUGCGAGGCGUCACUCAACGGAAACUACGAGUAUCGUACCAGCAAUAUUGUGAUUCUGAGUUGAUUUGAUGUUAUGAGGUCAACCGCUUUUAUUCUAAUGCUAGGCGCGUUGUUGUUGUCAAUGCAUUAUUGUUCUUCCAAAAAGACCAAGAAGUAUGCACAACUGGUCCCAGCGAGAAACCGACCGGCUCCGACGGCUCAUCAUACUUACCGAUACCAUGCAAAAGAGAAAAUCCUAAGGAAUCGUUUUACUCCUAAUGCAGUUCGUUACAAGAAGCCGCGAGCUCGGGCUAACAAGAUUAACCGGCCCAAUCUACUCGUCGGCCGAAAACUCGUCUAUCAUCAUUUCCGACGAAAUCGAGCCCGACUGCCCGAUAUAACGGACUUAAUUAGAAUCCGCAGCAAUAAUCGCGAAUGGUUCGAGCUGCCGGAAAAUGUUACCGUCAGUCCAUCACGACCGGAAGUGCAAUGGUAUGGGAAUUCCUAUAUUCCUUACCGCUACCGCUGCCAGUCGUCCAUCGUCUGCAGUGCUAACCGCAUAGCGCGAUUGUUGGACUCUGACAACCACAGCCUCAUUGAUCGUGACCAUCCGGCCGAUCGAAUCCAGAAAAUUCCCUUCUGCUCGCUGGUGCGCCUUAAUUAUGAGUUGCCCUUUACCGAACUGCCGAAUUUGGUGGCCGCCACAUUGUCGUCGGAUAUGCUGUCUGGCAACACAAUGGUUCAAAAACUGAGAUUUUUACUGGAGAUAUUUCAAGCCAGUUUGGAUAAAUAUAUGACAAGUGAUUCUUCCGGGGAAAUAUUCGUGGCACCGCAGAAUUCGGAUUCCUCAACGUGCAAAUUCAAGCGAUCCACAGAACCACUAAUGCGAUCCUUGUACACUUUCAUGAACAUACUGUCCACGCGGGAAGGAGGGGAAGGCUUUGUCACAGCCUUGACAAAGAGCGCGAAAGCCUGUAAAGACAAAGAAGAUGAAUAUUAUCCAUUAAGUCUGCUGCCGUGUCUGGACUUUUCCGUCGGAUCCGAACAAGUGCUUCUUCUUCAGGACCAAAGAACAUUAUUUGGAAAUCAAGAGCUUUACGCUUUCUAAAGGUCAAUAUAAGCCGAUGCCUUUUGAUGGACCAGCCGCAUUCCUGCACUGAAGAGCAUCUGGUUGCUCUUAAUAAUUUUGCCCGUCGUUUUUACAUGUGCGUUGGCAUUUUACAGCAUAGUAGCAGUUCGGGUCAGGUAGAGGAGAUUUAUGUGGGGGAGCCAGUCGUCGAUGCUCAACAACUUGAAGUCCCUCCAAGCAAAGCCAGUACGCAUUUCCGGUCUUUUUUAACCUCGUACGUUAUAGUCUUGUGCAUCUCGUUAUCGUGUUAUUGAAAUCUUACAACGAAAAUCUGCUAGUAAUUGCUAACAUUGUGCACGUCUGUGUAAAUGUAUACUAGCUUACGUCUUCGCAGAAUAAAUAUUAAUUUACAAAGCAAUAGGAUAUCGUUAACAAGCAUUUGAUUUUAAGCUUUUAACUGUGAAAAACUUUCUUUGAGCCUUUAUUUUGCUUAUGUGUACGUGCUUCUCAAAAUAAAAUUUAGUUGGACGGAUUUGGGAUUUUUUAUAAGCUCCCCCAAGA